rnacentral:rRNA from 1 species
GGUUCGCAUUGUAAUUUGUAGAGGAUGAUUUGGGGAAGCCGCCUGUCUAAGUUCCUUGGAACAGGACGUCAUAGAGGGUGAGAAUCCCGUAUGUGACAGGAAAUGGCACCCUAUGUAAAUCUCCUUCGACGAGUCGAGUUGUUUGGGAAUGCAGCUCUAAAUGGGAGGUAAAUUUCUUCUAAAGCUAAAUAUUGGCGAGAGACCGAUAGCGCACAAGUAGAGUGAUCGAAAGAUGAAAAGCACUUUGGAAAGAGAGUUAAAAAGCACGUGAAAUUGUUGAAAGGGAAGCGCUUGCAAUCAGACUUGUUUAAACUGUUCGGCCGGUCUUCUGACCGGUUUACUCAGUUUGGACAGGCCAGCAUCAGUUUCGGCGGCCGGAUAAAGGCUCUGGGAAUGUGGCCUCCACUUCGGUGGAGGUGUUAUAGCCCAGGGUGUAAUACGGCCAGCCGGGACUGAGGUCCGCGCUUCGGCUAGGAUGCUGGCGUAAUGGUUGUAAGCGACCCGUCUUGAAACACGGACCAAGGAGUCUAACAUCUAUGCGAGUGUUCGGGUGUCAAACCCCUGCGCGUAAUGAAAGUGAACGGAGGUGGGAACCCGCAAGGGUGCACCAUCGACCGAUCCUGAUGUCUUCGGAUGGAUUUGAGUAAGAGCAUAGCUGUUGGGACCCGAAAGAUGGUGAACUAUGCCUGAAUAGGGUGAAGCCAGAGGAAACUCUGGUU